rnacentral:rRNA from 1 species
AGAGUUUGAUCAUGGCUCAGAUUGAACGCUGGCGGCAGGCCUAACACAUGCAAGUCGAACGGUAACAGGAAGCAGCUUGCUGCUUCGCUGACGAGUGGCGGACGGGUGAGUAAUGUCUGGGAAGCUGCCUGAUGGAGGGGGAUAACUACUGGAAACGGUAGCUAAUACCGCAUAAUGUCGCAAGACCAAAGAGGGGGACCUUCGGGCCUCUUGCCAUCGGAUGUGCCCAGAUGGGAUUAGCUUGUUGGUGGGGUAACGGCUCACCAAGGCGACGAUCCCUAGCUGGUCUGAGAGGAUGACCAGCCACACUGGAACUGAGACACGGUCCAGACUCCUACGGGAGGCAGCAGUGGGGAAUAUUGCACAAUGGGCGCAAGCCUGAUGUAGCCAUGCCGCGUGUAUGAAGAAGGCCUUCGGGUUGUAAAGUACUUUCAGCGGGGAGGAAGGGAGUAAAGUUAAUACCUUUGCUCAUUGACGUUACCCGCAGAAGAAGCACCGGCUAACUCCGUGCCAGCAGCCGCGGUAAUACGGAGGGUGCAAGCGUUAAUCGGAAUUACUGGGCGUAAAGCGCACGCAGGCGGUUUGUUAAGUCAGAUGUGAAAUCCCCGGGCUCAACCUGGGAACUGCAUCUGAUACUGGCAAGCUUGAGUCUCGUAGAGGGGGGUAGAAUUCCAGGUGUAGCGGUGAAAUGCGUAGAGAUCUGGAGGAAUACCGGUGGCGAAGGCGGCCCCCUGGACGAAGACUGACGCUCAGGUGCGAAAGCGUGGGGAGCAAACAGGAUUAGAUACCCUGGUAGUCCACGCCGUAAACGAUGUCGACUUGGAGGUUGUGCCCUUGAGGCGUGGCUUCCGGAGCUAACGCGUUAAGUCGACCGCCUGGGGAGUACGGCCGCAAGGUUAAAACUCAAAUGAAUUGACGGGGGCCCGCACAAGCGGUGGAGCAUGUGGUUUAAUUCGAUGCAACGCGAAGAACCUUACCUGGUCUUGACAUCCACGGAAGUUUUCAGAGAUGAGAAUGUGCCUUCGGGAACCGUGAGACAGGUGCUGCAUGGCUGUCGUCAGCUCGUGUUGUGAAAUGUUGGGUUAAGUCCCGCAACGAGCGCAACCCUUAUCCUUUGUUGCCAGCGGUCCGGCCGGGAACUCAAAGGAGACUGCCAGUGAUAAACUGGAGGAAGGUGGGGAUGACGUCAAGUCAUCAUGGCCCUUACGACCAGGGCUACACACGUGCUACAAUGGCGCAUACAAAGAGAAACGACCUCGCGAGAGCAAGCGGACCUCAUAAAGUGCGUCGUAGUCCGGAUUGGAGUCUGCAACUCGACUCCAUGAAGUCGGAAUCGCUAGUAAUCGUGGAUCAGAAUGCCACGGUGAAUACGUUCCCGGGCCUUGUACACACCGCCCGUCACACCAUGGGAGUGGGUUGCAAAAGAAGUAGGUAGCUUAACCUUCGGGAGGGCGCUUACCACUUUGUGAUUCAUGACUGGGGUGAAGUCGGAACAAGGUA